AGCACCGACUAUAAAUUGUCAGACACUUGUCAGUCUCUGCCAUUAUCAUUACCUUACAGGACUUCCAGGUCUACAGGGAUGGUCCAGAGGGUGCGGGAGGAAAGGGCCUCAGGUGCGCGACACAUCCACUACUUUUUUUUUUAAGGUCAAACUUGUCUUUUCUGGAAACCGAGACAAUGCUAGACUUUUCCCCGACCCAAAUGUCAGGUCUACUUAAGCUGCCACUGAAAGAAAGGGCUUAGCCCAGCUCGGAUUUCUCUCAGCUCCUGCCGAAUAAAACCACAGCUAGGAGCCAAGGCUCUGACACUACUUCUUGCCCCAGCAUUACAGGCCAGGAGGAGCCUGCGAUCUGACAUUAACCAUUAGGAGUUCCUUAAGCAACAGCAGACUGGGAGAGGGGACUGUCAAGGUUAAUAAAGCAAGUUCAAACUCCCCCCCUCGCCCCACCCCCUUUCCGCAGUAAAAGUCAGGGAGGUAGAGAAAUAUGCUGAGUUGGCUCAUCCUCCUCGAUACAGAGUAAUCACCGUGAUGGUGAAAAGCACCCUAACUGGGCGAAACAGAUGACCUGUGCUGUCAAGAGGUGGGCUCUGGAGCUGCCGCCACAGAGUAGAAAAGGGUGUCUAGACUCCCCCAAAGGCAAGCUAAAUCUAUAGCAAGAAAUAGGUGAAUUUGGCUCAAUACACCUAUCAGAAAGGCCAGUAUGGUCAGAAUGAAGGCUAGAAGCUCUCCUGACCCAGCAUCUCGUCCCUGGAGUGGACUUGGGAGCAAUAAUCAUCUUUACAAGUGAUACAAGUUGGAAUUUCAGGAGCCUAGGAGUCUGGAGGAAUGACCGCCCCACGUGGUAGCAGCCAGGAGCUGAAAUCUGGCAUGGAUGCCCAUUGCAACGAAAAACUGGUAAUGGCCCUGCUUGUACUGGCAAACAACUUUUACAACUCAUAAAAUCCUAAUCAUGUUGCUGGAAGCCCUUUCAACUCACAGUGUGUAACACCACCAUCAAAUACUUAAAAAAACAAAUUUUAAAAGUAAAAAUGGGGACUAUGCUUUCACUUAAACGCUCAACGCUUCGGGUGUUUAGCCAUGGUUACUUUAAUUUUUUUUUCACUUUAAAGGAUAAUGUUUCCUCUGUUACCCAAAAGCAUUUUUUCCCUAAAGGAGACACAGACAUGGACACAGUGUAUGUUAAAUGAAAGAUCUAGGAACCAAUCAGUCGGAAGGGCCUCAUGUUCUUCAAACAUCAGAGCAGGGUUACACUCAUGUCUUUCCAGAAAAUGAAAGAAGUCCCAGAUGAUAUCUGCCCCAUGCACCUGACCAAGACACCAUCCCAGAGACCACUGGACAGUGAAGCAUCUGAAGAAAGAUAAUAAACACACCAAGAGGAAGCAUCCCAAGAGGAAGAAGAAGCUGAUGACUUGGGGAAGGCAUCAAGACUUUAAUUCAUCAAGCUGAGACCUUGGGGAGACAAGGACCCAAUACUACUGACCCCCCAAAUGGUGACGUCAUGCUUAUUGACUAUAUUAUACGUUCAUUCUCAGAUUGUGCAAAAUCCAAAUACUUUAUUUUCUGGCAUGUGCUGCUUUAAUGUGUCAUAUUUCUCUCAUAUUCAAAUCAAUGAUCUGCAUAAAGAGAAAGACACAACAUCUCCAGUAACCUUUGAAGGCCAUCUUGAUUAAGAUGGCUUCCCCUUUCCUUGGUCCUCUGCUGGUAUUCCUACAAUUCUGUUACACAUGCAUAUAACGUUAGACCAGCCAUGCAGGCUAUGCAGCCAACCUUGGCUUAUACUACUACAGCCACAAAAUCUCUUUUAAAACUGAAAAGGGGGAGAUAUAGGGAGAUAUAGGAAGUACAGCUAUCUUUGUGCUCACAGAUAAGCACCAGAGAAACCUGGGGCGUUAAGCACACAGGGUCGUUCCUUCAAGGGAAGGAAUGCAAUACCUGUCCUCUGCCCAGAAGGCUGAAAGACCUUCUGACCUAGUGACCUUUGUGCUAUCUGUGUAGCUAGAAACUUCUCUGGCACUGGAUCCUCCCCUA
rnacentral:sRNA from 1 species